rnacentral:rRNA from 1 species
CCCUUAGAUGUCCUGGGCCGCACGCGCGCUACACUGAGUGUCUGAGAUACGAGUCUGCCUGGUCCGGCAAGGUCUAGGUAUUCGCUAAAAGACACAUCAUGCUUGGGAUAGAUUAUUGCAAAUAUUAAUCUUGAACGAGGAAUUCCUAGUAAGCGCAAGUCAACAGCUUGCGUUGAUUACGUCCCUGCCCUUUGUACACACCGCCCGUCGCUACUACUGAUUGGAUGUUUAAGCGAGGUUCUCGAACUGCUAGCGACUUAGCUUCGGUGAGGUCGCAGUGUGGGAAGUGAACCUAGCUUUGGUGUCUAGAGGAAGUAAAAGUCGUAACA